rnacentral:rRNA from 1 species
UACGGAGGGUGCAAGCGUUAUCCGGAUUUAUUGGGUUUAAAGGGUCCGUAGGCGGACUCGUAAGUCAGUGGUGAAAUCUCAUAGCUUAACUAUGAAACUGCCAUUGAUACUGCGGGUCUUGAGUAAAGUAGAAGUGGCUGGAAUAAGUAGUGUAGCGGUGAAAUGCAUAGAUAUUACUUAGAACACCAAUUGCGAAGGCAGGUCACUAUGUUUUAACUGACGCUGAUGGACGAAGGCGUGGGGAGCGAACAGG